rnacentral:misc_RNA from 1 species
CCGAGAGAGGGUGCCCCGCGCGCCCGACCUCCCAACCCUUUGUCGACCGCACCGCGUUGCCUCGGGGCGGCCUCACCCGGCGCCCCAGAGGACUUCAAUCAAAACUCUGCGUCCCUGCGUCGGAGUCUUACGGAUGAAUCAAUCA